rnacentral:SRP_RNA from 1 species
ACCGAGCUUGGUGACGCUAGCUUGUAACUCGAGUGAGGGUAUUAAGGUGGCUUAGGGGUGAAAGACUAUCGGUCACUAGCCUGAUGUGGCGGCGGGCUGAAUUUGACGGGACUCUUGGUUGAGACAUUGAGGAAUCAGUUCCCUUGUGUCUUGUGUCUAGUCAAACGGUCUAGUGUCCCAAUGGCCAGUGAUUAAUAGGCCCGUCAUCUCCACCUCCACCUUU